AUGUUUUUUCUUCUUCCCUCUCUCUCUCUGGAUCUGAAGAUAAAUCUGUUAUAUAUCAGUUGGCUUGGCUUGUCUGAGAAUCUUCUCAACAGGUUGCGGUGCAAGUGUGCAAAAUCUUUGGAGUCAUAUGAAGCGGGAAUUAACGUGAUAAAGUACAAGGCAAAACAUGGUUUCUACUUUUUUAAUAUCCGGUUGAAGAAAUGGCACCACAAGUUGACAUAUUUUGCUUAUUUUGGAUGA